AACGCAUAUUGCGCUCGCGGCCUCGGCCAAGAGCAUGUCUGCCUCAGCGUCGGUUUGAACCCUCACCCUAUUCUUCCUUAGGGAAGUAUAGCGCAGCUGGCUACGGCCGGCUUGCCCAGGGUGGAUCUGACAUUCCCGCCCCAUUUGGAGCGGGUCUGUUGAAGUGCAGUGGCAUUGCAAGGUCCCUAUAGGGCUCAACUGGAUAACGUGGUGCAAACCGCGCGAAAGUUGUAGCUUGGAAUCUUGACUAGCGCCAUCAAGGAACCCCUUCUUAUUCGACCUGAGCUCAGGCAAGAUUACCCGCUGAACUUAA
rnacentral:misc_RNA from 1 species